CCUACGGGAGGCAGCAGUGAGGAAUAUUGGUCAAUGGGCUUACGCCUGAACCAGCCAAGUCGCGUGAGGGAAGACUGCCCUAUGGGUUGUAAACCUCUUUUGUCAGGGAGCAACGCCGGCUACGUGUAGCCGGACUGAGAGUACCUGAAGAAAAAGCAUCGGCUAACUCCGUGCCAGCAGCCGCGGUAAUACGGAGGAUGCGAGCGUUAUCCGGAUUUAUUGGGUUUAAAGGGUGCGUAGGCGGAAUGCCAAGUCAGCGGUAAAAUCGCGGGGCUCAACCUCGCUCCGCCGUUGAAACUGGCGGUCUUGAGUGGGCGAGAAGUAUGCGGAAUGCGUGGUGUAGCGGUGAAAUGCAUAGAGAUCACGCAGAACUCCGAUUGUGAAGGCAGCAUACCGGCGCCCAACUGACGCUGAAGCACGAAAGCGUGGGUAUCGAACAGGAUUAGAUACCCUUGUAGUC
rnacentral:rRNA from 1 species